rnacentral:rRNA from 1 species
UGGUGGUGUGAAUUGUCUGGUUAAUUCCGUUAACGAACGAGACCUCGACCUGCUAAAUAGUAUAGCGAAUCCUUGAUUCGUCUAAACUUCUUAGAGGGACUAUCGGUUGGUGUACCCGGUGGAAGUUCGAGGCAAUAACA